CCCGCUCUCGCUUCCAGCGCGACGCUACUCCACAUUGGAGUGUGGGAAAUAGUGCUUCAGCGAGUGUACAUCGGUUGUACACUCGAAAUCAGAAUGAAUUGUGGGUAAAAAGUAGUGAACGAAUGUAGGGAAUGAAGUCGUUCACUCAGAAUUCGGACAGCACUACAAAAUGGCUGACACCCGAUAUAGUGCACUAUAUAGUGGAUAGGGAGCGGUUUCGGACACAGUGUGGUUCUACGGGUUCUACACCGGAAAAAAAGUAUAGAGCGGACAUUGCGUCACUGAGAGGCGACAUAUUUUUUCCGGGACGGCCAGUUAUUUAAAAUCGGAAUUUCUCUGAAAUAAAAAAUCUUUGGAGACUUUUGAGAUAUUGUAAGUACACAACUGGAGGAAAUAUAUCACACUGUGCAAGUUAUUUUCGGAAUAUUUAUUACAAAAUUCCUACAUAUUGGAGCUUUAACGUAAAUUCUGCGUUCUACGUGAUUUAAUGGGCGCGCGCGCUGAACUGGAGCGGAGGAAGUCACCAUGAUAACGAGGCGGCAGCUCAACUGUCAAGAAGUUGAACGCUGACUCUUAAAGGGGGUUUCACUAAUUUUGUUUAGAUUCUUCCAUGCUGAUGGCUGUGCCCAAGAGUUGGAGCAUAUCUCCUGUCGAAGAACAUUUUUAGACAUUAUGAAACAUGAAUAAGACUGAAAAUCAUCGAUAAACCACAAGAGUUUACCUCCAACCCUAAUUAAGCAGACCUGAGCAGCUGAUCAAGGAUCACCAGAAACUCUGUAGAAUGUUGGUCCUCCAUGCCCAGGACUGGACACCAGUGUUAGUGUCUGUCUCAGAAGCUGAAGAAAAGAGGCCACACCUCAGAGGAAAUAAGUGCCUCCUAAGUGUACGGAAAUACCUGGCUGAGAAGAUCACUGACAUAAACCAGAUAAAACUGUCAGUGACACCAGUGUGUGACCGAUCAGUGCCAGAGCAAGACUGCACGAAAGAGCACCCAGCACCGGGAGACCCACACGGAGAGCACUCGGACACUCAGCACGCACGCUACUCACUCAAAACCCUCGACUGUGAAUAAAUCCACCUCCAGGGGCUCAGCCACAGUGACGCCGCAAAUGCAGUUCAUAGUUCCUGUAUUUCUAUAAUGCAUUAAUUAAUAACAAUAAUUAAAAAAAAUAAAAUGUCAUGUAAAGGUUUUGUGUUAAUUCCAGCUAUGUUGCGUAUUCUUUGAAUAAUUUUGAUUUUAGGUGCAUAUUCUUAAUUAUUUGCAAAACAACCUGAACUGUUAGCUAUUGAAAUGUUGGUGUGCAGUUUAAAUAAAUAAAAAUUAUAUUCUUGACAAAACCUGUG